UACGUAGGCAGCAAGCGUUGUUCGGAGUUACUGGGCGUAAAGGGUGCGUAGGCGGCUUCUUAAGUCUGGUGUGAAAUCUCCCGGCUCAACUGGGAGGGUGCGCCGGAUACUGAGGGGCUAGAGUGUGGGAGAGGAAAGUGGAAUUCCUGGUGUAGCGGUGAAAUGCGUAGAUAUCAGGAGGAACACCUGUGGCGAAGGCGCCUUGCUGGCCGAUUUCUGACGCUGAGGCGCGAAAGCGUGGGGAGCGAACAGG
rnacentral:rRNA from 1 species